rnacentral:rRNA from 1 species
AAUGAACGCUGGCGGCAUGCCUAACACAUGCAAGUCGAACGAGACCUUCGUGUAUACUUGCGCCCGGGUUCGUCACGCGUCGGAACCUUCCCUUAGGCUCGGCAUACCUCCCCGUAAGGGGUGCUAAUACCGGCUAAUGUCUUCGGACCAAAGGUUUAUCGCCUUUGGAUGGGCCCGCGUUCGAUUAGCUAUUUGGUAGGGUAAAAGCCUACCUAGGCCAGGUUCCAUAGCUGGUUUGAGAGGAUGGUCAGCCACACUGGGACUGAGACACGGCGCAGACUACUACGGGAGGCAGCAGUGGAGAAUAUUGGACAAUGGGCGAAAGCCUGAGCCAGCAAUGCCGCGUGAGGUAUGAAGGUCUUAGGGUUGGAAAGCUCGUUUACCCGGGAUGAUAAUGACAGUACCGGGAGAAUAAGCACCGGCUAACUCCGUG